rnacentral:rRNA from 1 species
UUUCACUAAAGGCGUCAUAUCAUUUUUGUGCUUGUGUUUGACCCCUCUUUUCGGAGAGCGCGUGUCUUCACACACAAUUACCUUGGCGUCUGAAAGCAACGAACGUGACCGUAACCUCUUGUUGCCUUCUUUUCUUUAUUGAAUGCUGUUUCAUUCGUUUUACGAGUGCUCAGUAUAUGGAGGCUUUUUUUACCAACAACUAGAGGGACCGCUGUUACUUUCUUUAAACCAGAGGAAGGUUGCGGCAAUAACAGGUCUGUGAUGCCCUUAGAUGUUCCGGGCUGCACACGUGAUACAUUGAUUACUUCAGUGAGUAUCUACGUUUUAACUGCGUGGCUUUACAAAUUUUUAUUUUCUUCGGAAGGUAAUUUUUUGUUUGCCGCCUCAACCUGCUUCGAAAGUAUGUGGGUAACCAAUUAGAAGUAGUGAUUUCCUUUUUUUUAUAAGCACACUUAUAUGGAGCAUCAUCACCCGGCAUACCUUGUUGUAUGUUUUUGUGUGUGUUGUUUGCUUUUCCAUGUGCUUUUGUCAAUUCAUAGUGGGGACAGACCAUUGUUAAUUGUUGGUCUCGGUCUUAACUAGGAAUGCCUUGUACGAGUUUUUGGUUCAACAAACCACUCGGAAUACGUCCCUGCCCUUUGUACACACCGCCCGUCGCUCUUACCGAUGGAUUAUAUUAUGAGUAGGCAGGACUGUUUCUUCUAUAGGAAAUGCCCGCGAAUAAUGGAUCUAAA